rnacentral:lncRNA from 1 species
AUGGACGCCCUAUGGAUGCCCUAUAUAUCCCCUAUGGACACCCUACGGAUGCCCUGUGGGUCACCUAUGGAUCCCCUACAGAUCCCCUGUGGGUCACCUAUGGAUACCCUAUGGAAUCCCCUACGGAAUCCCCUACGGAUCCCCACCAGGGCCUCGGCGGUGCCUAUGGAUCACCUAUGGAUCCCCCAGGGAAUCCCCCAUGGAUCCCCCCUAUAUCCCGCAGGGAAUCCCCCAUGGAAUCCCCUAUGGAUCCCCCCUAUAUCCCCCAGGGAAUCCCCUAUGGAUCCCCCCUAUGGAUCCCCCAUGGAAUCCCCUAUGGAUCUGCCCUAUAUCCGCCAGGGAAUCCCCUAUGGAUCUCCCCUAUGGAUCACCCAUGGAUCCCCUGUGGGUCACCUAUGGAACCCCCAUAAAAUCCCCUAUGGGAGCCCGAUGGAUCCCCCUGGGAAUCCCCCAUAUGGAUCCCCCAUGGAUUCCCCCGGGAAUCCCCUAUGGAUCCCCCAUAGAUCCCCCCAAAGAGCCCUGGGUCGGGCUGGGCAGCACCUACAGACCCCAAAAUCCCCUAUAGACCCCAUAGGUCCCAUAUAGGGCCCAAAUCCCCCACAAAAAAAGUCCCCUACAGACCCCAAAAAUGCCCCCAUAGGUCCCAUAGAGGUCCCAAUCCACCCAAAAAUCCCCUAUAGACCGAAAAUCCCCCCCCCCAAAAUCCCCCAUAGAC